rnacentral:rRNA from 1 species
GACGAACGCUGGCGGCGUGCCUAAUACAUGCAAGUCGAGCGCAGGAAAUCAACGGAACCCUUCGGGGGGAAGUCGACGGAAUGAGCGGCGGACGGGUAAGUAACACGUAAAGAACCUGCCCUCAGGUCUGGGAUAACCACGAGAAAUCGGGGCUAAUACCGGAUGGGUCAUCGGACCGCAUGGUCCGAGGAUGAAAGGCGCUCCGGCGCCUCCUGGGGAUGGCUUUGCGGUGCAUUAGCUAGUUGGUGGGGUAAUGGCCCACCAAGGCGACGAUGCAUAGCCGACCUGAGAGGGUGAUCGGCCACACUGGGACUGAGACACGGCCCAGACUCCUACGGGAGGCAGCAGUAGGGAAUCUUCCACAAUGGACGAAAGUCUGAUGGGGCAACGCCGCGUGAACGAUGAAGGCCUUCGGGUCGUAAAGUUCUGUUGUAAGGGAAGAACAAGUGCCGCAGGCAAUGGCGGCACCUUGACGGUACCUUGCGAGAAAGCCACGGCUAACUACGUGCCAGCCGCCGCAGUAAAAC